UACGUAGGGGGCGAGCGUUGUCCGGAUUCAUUGGGCGUAAAGAGCUCGUAGGCGGCUUGGCAAGUCGGGUGUGAAAACUCCAGGCUCAACCUGGAGACGCCACCCGAUACUGCCAUGGCUUGAGUCCGGUAGGGGACCACGGAAUUCCUGGUGUAGCGGUGAAAUGCGCAGAUAUCAGGAAGAACACCCGUGGCUAAGGCGGCUCUCUAGUACGGUACUGACGCUGAGACGCGAAAGCGUGGGGAGCGAACAGG
rnacentral:rRNA from 1 species